rnacentral:miRNA from 1 species
CCCCGCCCAAGAUUUCAUUUGC